rnacentral:rRNA from 1 species
CCCUUAGAUGUCCUGGGCUGCACGCGCGCUACACUGACGAACUCAACGAGCUUAUCACCUCGGCAGAGAUGUCUGGGUAAUCUUUUGAAAGUUCGUCGUGCUGGGGAUAGAUGAUUGUAAUUAUUCGUCUUGAACGAGGAAUUCCUAGUAAGUGUGAGUCAUCAGCUCGCGCUGAUUACGUCCCUGCCCUUUGUACACACCGCCCGUCGCUCCUACCGAUUGAAUGGUCCGGUGAGGUUCUCGGAUUUUUUCUGUUGUUUGGUUCGCUAAACGAUUGAAGAGAGAAGUUACCCAAACCUUACCAUUUAGAGGAAGGAGAAGUCGUAACA